rnacentral:rRNA from 1 species
CCUACGGGUGGCAGCAGUGGGGAAUAUUGGGCAAUGGGCGCAAGCCUGACCCAGCAACGCCGCGUGAAGGAAGAAGGCCCUCGGGUUGUAAACUUCUUUUGUCAGGGACGAAACAAAUGACGGUACCUGACGAAUAAGCCACGGCUAACUACGUGCCAGCCGCCGCCGUAAUACGUAGGUGGCAAGCGGUAUCCGGAUUUACUGGGUGUAAAGGGAGCGUAGACGGGGGGCCAAGUCUGGAGAGAAAUGCCGCAGCUUAACUGCGGAACUGCGUGGGAAACUGGCGAACUAGAGUGCGGGAGGGGUAAGUGGAAUGCCUGGUGUAGCGGUGAAAUGCGUAGAUAUUAGGAGGAACACCGGUGGCGAAGGCGGCUUACUGGACCGUAACUGACGUUGAGGCUCGAAAGCGUGGGGAGCAAACAGGAUUAGAUACCCUUGUAGUC